UACGUAGGGGGCUAGCGUUGUCCGGAAUCAUUGGGCGUAAAGAGCGUGUAGGCGGUCCGGUAAGUCCGCUGUGAAAGUCGGGGGCUCAACCCUCGAAUGCCGGUGGAUACUGUCGGGCUAGAGUGCGGAAGAGGCGAGUGGAAUUCCUGGUGUAGCGGUGAAAUGCGCAGAUAUCAGGAGGAACACCUAUUGCGAAGGCAGCUCGCUGGGACGUAACUGACGCUGAGGAGCGAAAGCGUGGGGGAGCGAACAGG
rnacentral:rRNA from 1 species